CGGAGGGUGCAAGCGUUAUCCGGAUUUAUUGGGUUUAAAGGGUCCGCAGGCGGGCCGAUAAGUCAGUGGUGAAAUCUCAUAGCUUAACUAUGAAACUGCCAUUGAUACUGUCGGUCUUGAGUAAAUUAGAGGUAGCUGGAAUAAGUAGUGUAGCGGUGAAAUGCAUAGAUAUUACUUAGAACACCAAUUGCGAAGGCAGGUUACCAUGAUUUAACUGACGCUGAGGGACGAAAGCGUGGGGGAGCGAACAGGAUU
rnacentral:rRNA from 1 species